rnacentral:rRNA from 1 species
UGUGCAAAGGUAGCAUAAUCAGUUGGCUUAUAAUUGAAGUCUGGUAUGAACGGGAAUUCGGGGUGACACUGUCUCAAAGUAAUAAAUUAGAAUUUACUAAAUAAGUGAAAAUUCUUAUACUAAGUAAAUAGACGAGAAGACCCUAGAAAUUUUUAACAAAAUACUAGGUUCUUUUUGUUGGGGCGACAGGAUAACAUAUAAACUUAUCCACUUUGUAUAAGAACUUUAUAUAGAGUAAAAAGAAAUUACUCUAGGGAUAACAGCAUAAUAUUAUAAAGUUUGUGACCUCGAUGUUGGACUAGGGAGUGUUUUGCUUAAAAGGUAAAAUAAUAGGCUCUGUUCGAGCUAAUACCCUACAUGAUCUGAGUUCAAAUCGA